UACGAAGGGGGCUAGCGUUGUUCGGAUUUACUGGGCGUAAAGCGCACGUAGGCGGCUCGUUAAGUCAGGGGUGAAAUCCUGGAGCUCAACUCCAGAACUGCCUUUGAUACUGAGGAUCUUGAGUACGGGAGAGGUGAGUGGAACUGCGAGUGUAGAGGUGAAAUUCGUAGAUAUUCGCAAGAACACCAGUGGCGAAGGCGGCUCACUGGCCCGUAACUGACGCUGAGGCACGAAAGCGUGGGGAGCAAACAGG
rnacentral:rRNA from 1 species